GCAGCAAAGGGAAGCAAGGACAGAGAGCCCAAGCCAAAGAGGAAACGAGAACCGAAAGAGCCAAAGGAACCCAGAAAGGCCAAGGAGCCGAAGAAGGCCAAGGAGCACAAGGAGCCGAAGCAAAAAGAUGGGGCAAAGAAGGCACGGAAGCCCCGGGAGGCCUCGGGCACCAAGGAGGCCAAAGAGAAGAGGAGCUGCACUGACUCUGCAGCCAGGACGAAGUCCAGGAAGGCCAGCAAGGAGCAAGGACCAACCCCAGUGGAGAAAAAGAAGAAAGGAAAAAGGAAAAGUGAAACUACAGUGGAGAGUUUAGAGCUGGAUCAGGGCCUGACGAACCCAUCUCUGCGGAGUCCUGAGGAGUCCACUGAGUCUACAGACAGCCAGAAACGACGCUCGGGAAGGCAAGUAAAGCGCAGAAAAUACAAUGAGGACCUGGACUUCAAAGUGGUGGAUGAUGAUGGGGAAACAAUUGCUGUUCUUGGAGCUGGUCGAACAUCUGCACUCUCAGCCUCUACACUGGCCUGGCAGGCGGAGGAGCCUCCAGAAGAUGAUGCAAACAUCAUUGAGAAGAUCCUGGCAUCUAAGACUGUCCAGGAGGUUCACCCAGGAGAACCUCCGUUCGACUUGGAGCUGUUCUACGUUAAGUAUAGAAAUUUUUCCUACUUACAUUGUAAAUGGGCCACAAUGGAAGAGCUCGAAAAGGAUCCUCGCAUCGCACAGAAGAUCAAGCGAUUUAGGAAUAAACAAGCCCAGAUGAAGCACAUUUUUACAGAGGUGAAGCAAUAUUUACUGACUCAUUUGACUGCUGCUUUUCUUGCAGCAGUAAAUACUGUAUUUACGUUUCUAAGUCCAAGUUAAAUUCCUAUACAGAUCUGUUGCUCAAGUCAAAUUGAUAAAUGUAUGCUGAUUUGCAACAAAACUAGUCUAGAUUCAAGUCAAAGAAAAGUAUCCACCAAAGUUAAGGAUCAAACCUUAUAAACUGACAACUCAUAAGAGCGUGCAUCUUGGUCUGAAUACUAAUAAAUAGCUAGAUUGAGAGGAAUAUGCACACAAUUCUUUUGUCCCUGCUCCCUCAACCUGCUGCAACCCAAAAAGGACAUUUCAGAAGGUCCUAAAGUUUGAAUGUAAAAAACAAAACAAAUCUAAAAGUGAGAGAAAGUAAACAAAUAAUUUUAUUUAUGUAAACUUGGGAAUUUCUAAGUAUUGUACCUACAGCAAGAGGAAGGACUGAUGGAUUUUAAUAUUAAACAAAUCUAUAAUGCUGUAUAUCAGAAAAUGCCACAAACCUUAACCUUAAUGUGUUAUUCUUGGAAUAAAGACUAAACCCUGUAAUAUAGCCUACACA
rnacentral:sRNA from 1 species